GACGAACGCUGGCGGCGUUCUUAACACAUGCAAGUCGAACGAAGUGGCGAACGGGUGAGUAACGCGUAAUCAACCUGCCCUUCAGAGGGGGACAACAGUUGGAAACGACUGCUAAUACCGCAUACUGAAGGAGGGGAUUGCGUCUGAUUGGCAAGUGGGAGGGGUGACGGCCCACCAAGGCGAUGAGCAGUAGCCGGUCUGAGAGGAUGAACGGCCAAAUUGGGACUGAUACCCGGCCCAGACGCCUACGGGAGGCAGCAGUGGGGAAUCGUCCGCAAUGGACGAAAGUCUGACGGAGCAACGCGCCGUGAGUGAUGACGGCCUUCGGGUUGUAAAGCUCUGUUAAUCGGGACGCGGUACCGGAAUAGAAAGCCACGGCUAACUACGUGCCAGCAGCCGCGGUAAUUC
rnacentral:rRNA from 1 species